UUAAUGUUUAUCAUCAUUUAGUAGAUGGUUGGCGUUAGCCAACAUAUAAUAAAAACAAACUAAAUGAUCCUUUUAUAGGUUUUUACUUUUUUAUUUUACAACACUUCAUUAAAAAUGUUUACUUUAAACUAAAAAAUGAUUAAAUUUUAAAAUUAAUUAUUCGGUUGAUGGAUAACUAGACUACAAUUUAAGUUUUGUAACGGUAUUACAACUAUAGAUAAUGUAUUCCACAGAUUACCAACAGUCAUGUGGUCAUCGUUGAGAAGAACUGUCGUGUACGCUCUCCCUGAUUGUUGCUUAUAUUAAUUAAUGUUAUUUUAAGUUAUUAUAACUAAGAAUCAUGGAUAAUGAAAAUGGAAGGCUUCCACCGGACUCACAUGAAUACCAUCAUACUUUGAUCUAAAAAUAAAUUAAGUAAUUGCGCCAUUAUACAGUAAUUGUCGAGUAUAGCUCAUUAUUGAAAAGUAAGUUAAUAAUAUAAUGUGUGUGUUAAAUUUAUAAUUAAAUGAUAAAUCUUCGUAUACUUAUAACGAUUCUGAGUAAAGACAAUAAGUCAGCAUGUAUGUUACCAAAUAUAUUUUAUGAUAUAUUUAUAUUGUCAUUAAAGUAAUUUAUUUUACCCGCUUUUACCAAAUAGAUUCACAUUCCUACCAGAAAUCUAGGGGUUUACUGUUCUAAUAGAUAAUGGUCGACAGAAAAAAAAACAUACAUCAUUGUAAAAUGAAUACAUUCAUAUUACUCUAUUUGAAAUCUAAAAUCUGAAAUUUAUAAAAUCUAUAAAUAAUAAAUAUUUUCAGAUGAUUUAAUAAUAUUAAUAAUUUUGAAAGGUAAAAUAGAUAUAAAACAAAUAUUUAUUACAUUUAAUUGUAUUAUAGAUACCUAAAUAAUGAAUAAUACCAAUAAAAUUUAAAAAUUUAAAAAGUAAAAUAUGCGGUAGGACACUCAUGUAGAUU